rnacentral:rRNA from 1 species
GAGUUUGAUCUUUGGCUCAGAACGAACGUUGGCGGUGUGCCUAAUACAUGCAAGUCGAGCGAGAAAACCGGGGCAACUCGGUGAGUACAGCGGCGGAAGGGUGCGUAAUACAUGGAUAACGUACUCCCCAGUUCGGGAUAACCCUCCGAAAGGUGGGCUAAUACCGGGUAAUGGCAGCGGGUGGCAUCAUUUGCUGCUUAAAGACGCAAGUCGCUGGGGGAGCGGUCCAUGGCCUAUCAGCUAGUUGGCGGGGUAACGGCCCACCAAGGCAAUGACGGGUAGCCGGACUGAGAGGUUGAACGGCCACACGGGAACUGAGACACGGUCCCGACAUCUACGGAUGGCAGCAGUAGGGAAUCUUGCGCAAUGGGCGAAAGCCUGACGCAGCGACACCGCGUGGGGGAUGAAGGCCUUCGGGUUGUAAACCCUUUCAUGAGGGAUGAACACUGACAUUACCUCAGGAAGAAGCACCGGCUAACUCCGUGCCAGCCGCCGCCGUAAG